ensembl:misc_RNA
AUAUUGAAAAACACCAGAUGAUCUGCUUUGAAGGGACAUAAACAGGCCAAGCGGAUGCAGGUUAAUAAAACCCGCAAAAGCCCAGACAGGAACACUUAAAAUGCCCCAGAACAAAACACAACCGUGACAAAUUCUCAUCCAACACACAACUACAUGCACAGAAAUGUUCUCAGACAC